UGAGGACAUACACUUCCUGUCCUGACUGCUCAGGAGGCUGAGGCAGGAAGAAUGCUUGAGCCCAGGAUUCAAUGUCAGUUUGAACAACUAAUGAGGCCCUGUCUCAAAAUAUAGUACAGUAAAAUUAAAUUAAUAAACAGAUGGAAUGUUCCCUUCUUGUGGGCCUAGUUGCUUGCUAAGUUGACCCAUAUAAAGUUUCUUUACUGUUAAAUCAAGACCAGUCAACUGUUGAUACGGUUCCUUCAUGAGAUGGUACAUAUUAACCAUUUGUGUUCCUCUCAUCCUACGACACCCCUUCAAAAUUAUUUUAACAGCAAGAAACUGGAGCCUGAGAUUGUGCUGAAAGGAAAACCUUCCCAGCAAAGCUCCACUUUGCUCCGACUUCAGGCUAUGUUGUCUUGAGAUAUAGGACAAUCAAAAUGACUUUUGAGGCCCAGAUAAUGGUGGUGCAGGCCUUUAACCCUAGUGCUUGGGAGAGGGGUGCAGGAAGAUAAGAAGUUCAAGGUCAUCCAGGGCUAUGUGAGCUCCUGCCUCAGAAAGCAAACAAAAGAAAUAAAGGAAAGACAAAAUGGCUUUGGCUAUCCUUUCCUUCAUCAUUAAUAAAAGAAGGAAAGCCUCUGAGAUAGCCUCGCCAACCCUGACUGAGGACUGGACCAGUUACGGGACUCUGAUUCAGAGUCCUUUGCUUCCAUUAGCCGGUGAGAUGGUGUUUUACUUCUCCAUCAUGGGAGGCUUCGGUGCAGUAGAGGAAGCAGGGUGCUGGGGUGCUGGCUCGCAGACACACCCCAGCGGCAGGAGUGCCAUCCAGUCUUCAGUACAUCACUGUCAGUGUGUGUCUGUGGCCGCCUCUGGGUGUGUGUGUUUCUUUUUGUAUCUCCGUGUCAGUGUCGAGCCGUGUGUCUAUUUAUGUCGGCCGUCUAGGCGUGCUCAGUGUGACAGGAGCUGGGGGCGGUGUUGGUAAAGGAAGACAGUUCCAAGCCUCAGCUCUCCCCUCGGGGACAUCAGGAUGCUGGUAUAUGUGUACUGCACAUAUAUAGAUACAGAGCUUUUGUCAUGCUGUUCAUUGGAUGGGGGAUGCAUUCAAGUGUCUGGCCAGGUAUGGCCUGAGCAGUGGCCUGGCUGGGGAAGCCCCAUCUGCCAAGAGCUCACAGAGUUGCCUUCCCGCCCUCCCUGUCCAUGGGGAGCCCCGUCCCUUCGCAGUUUACCAUCUACUCUCUAAUUUAUUAGAUGGGAGGGAGGAGAAAAUGAAAUGUCGCCUGAAGACAAUGGCCGAGACAGCCCGACCCACCCUGCACAGCCGCCAGUGCCUCCUUCCCCAGCCUUGACUCCUCUGUCGCGAGUCUGCACAUUACUCUGCUAACCCUGAGGUGUCUGUUCAUCUGCAAGCUCACAGCCUCCCUCAGGGCACUUCCUGACAAGAUGGCAGGAUGCAUGAUCCUGGGAUCUCCUUUGCUCUCUCCAGGUUGGAUCUGCCUUCCUUGGGGGCAUGCCCCAUCUGAUCUGAGCUGCAGGCUGGCACUGGUAAAAACCUACCAUAGCCUCUCUCUGUGGGGAUGAGCUUCACCUGGGUCUCUCCUGCCCUUUUCAGCAGCUCUGUAGGCCAAGGAGUAGGGGCCUGUCCUCAUUCUGACUCACCUCCUUAUGCUCUGCUUCUUUCUCAAGGGAGCAUGAGUGGCUCCUGCUGAGAGUGUGAUGCUGGAGAUGGAUGGAGCCAUGUUAUGUUACUGAAGAAAGCUUCUGGUCUCAAGGGUCUGAGGUGGCCUAGUAAAAAAACAAGGUCACGAGAAGAUCCACUCAGAAGUCAGAGGGUCCUCGGUCCUCCAGCCCACUGUCCUGCUUAGGACAUAAGGCAAGCUUCUUCCCUCUCCGGACCUGAAAAAGGAACACUGGAUACAACAGUGUCUGCAGCCACUUAGCCCCUACAUUUUAUAAUUUGGGAAUUCUUCUUUUUUUCUGCUUUGUUACCUACAAGUCAGCCUAUCCCUCUUCCUGACUUUCAGAAAAGUCAGCCUUUUCUCCUUUAAGCUGUCCUGGGACACAGGUCAAUUCCUCUACCUAAAGCCUAAGAAGAAACAACCAACCAAAGAAACAGAAAACCCAGAAGCUUGUCUCAUUUCUGACCUUCGACAUUGGACUGGAAAGUGGCCUGGGCUGGACAGUAUGUUUUGGCUAGGUGUGCUUCCAGCCUGAGUCUGGAUGCUCUGUCUUCGCCUCUGGUUCCAAAUGUUCUGAACAGCGCCCCAGUGGUUUUAGGAAGGUUUGUCAUAUAUUUGGGACCUUUCCUGGGCCAGAGUCCCUUAGAUUCUAUGAAGGCACCACUUUUUCUUGAUGUCUGACUUCCCCAGCAAGGUGGCUCCGCUAUAGGCACAGCUGAAACAAGUCUGGCUAUGAAGUCUAGAAGGCGUGAAACCAAUAUCCCUGUAUGGCCAGGGUGACCCUGGGCCAGUGCAUAGCUUCCCUGAGCACUGUUUCCACGUUUAUAAAAUGGAAAGGGGAUAGAGAGGGGAGGGGAUAUGCCUUAGUGGUGGAGAGCUUUCCAAGCAUUCUCAAGAAGUUGGGAUGUAUCCUUAGACUCAAAAUAUAACAAUAAUAGUAGCCAUGCCUUUCACAUACAUUAUGUGAGAUAUAUAAAUAAGUCCUUCUCCAACUUCAGGACUUCCCUGCUGGGGAGGUCCUGAGAUGACCUUCAUUUUCCCCUUCCAAGCCCUCAUAACACCUGAAUGGAAUUCAGAGGGCAUCUGCCUCCCUGAGCGCCUCCUGCUCACAGACUAUUCCUCUUGUCUUUAGAGCGUCCUGCGAAAGGAAGUGAUGGGUCAGGCUCUGUUCACUUUUCUGGAAAGAGAGAAGUGGCAGCUCCUGCUAGGGUCACAGGACGAAUACAGAGCCAAGCUGCUUCAGAGACAGAAAAGAGCAGGAAAGAAAAUGCAACGUCACCACCCUGUCGCCCCUGUACAGGGUGCAACCCAGCCACCAGGGACUCAGCAGGAGACCAGGGAAAGUGCUCCACAGCCCUCCUAGAGGGCCUCUCUCAUUGACCAGCUGGCCUGGCAACUCCUCCACGCCUGCCCAUGCCACACCUUUCUGGACGGUUCUGGGUCUGCUGUGCUGUGGGACACUCUGUCCAGCCACUUGGGAAACGGAAACUUCACCACUGGCAUUUCCACCCUGGAGAACUAGGCAGCACACUGGGAAGCAGCCAGGGGAAGGGACUCCAGCCUCCCAGGAGUUAAAGAUGCCUCUCCCCAGCUGUCCUCCCCUUGGUGCUCCUUUUCCUCCCUCCUUCUGCUCACAGCAGGCAGGGCCUGGAACCAGGAGCCAUGCUGCUGUGCUGUUGCCAGGGGAGCUGGGAGGCAGAUCGGAGCUAUGCAGGGAAAAGGCUCAGCCUGUCAAAGUGUCUGAGAUGAACCACCGCCAUCCUGUGCAGCUGGGCUCAGAUGUGUCUUGGCUCUUGUUCUGUGCCUGAGAACGGUGAAGCCCAGUGAGGUUCAAGGGCACACUCGCUAUUCAUUAGUCAGGGGUUCUUGACAUCCUGUCUCUCCCAGGCAUAGGUUCCCCCCUUCUUCUUUCUCUCCCUCCUGUGACACAUUCCUGGGUGCCUGUGGUGAGGACUGCACACCCCCUCCUGCAUGGCCCCCUCCACGCAAACCCUGAAUCAACUCCUGUUAAGGAGACCAGGCGGGACAGAGACAAUGGCUUCAAGAAACCAUUCAGGCGGGACCCCAGCCACAUUCGCCUUCCCUCCACUCCAGUGCCCCUACAGAGCCGACUCUGCUGUGACUCAGGGCACCCUUGGGCCCCCAGCUUGCACAAGCCCAGACAGGAGCAGGCCACUAGGUGCUGCCCUACACAACAACAGGCCAGCCAAGCGCUAUUUUCAGUGGGCCCCUCAGUGGGCGCCUCUAUCCCAUUGGCUAGAUAUUUUUGUGCAGUUGUUUGGGGAAUAGAAACUGUACAAUAUUUUUCUGAAAUGUUCCAAUGUCAAAAUUAAAAGGUACAUUUACUUGGAUACUAAUUUUAUGACUAGGAAUUUUCUCCAGAUACAGUGGGAAGGUUUGCUAAGAAGCAUAGACAAGGAAGUACAGUUCAACUAAUGCAUCACUUACUACUGUGGAAUGCUUCAGAGCUGUAAAAGUGUGGCAGAUCUCUGCAUGCAGGUGAUAUCCAAGGCUGACUGAUAAACUUGAGUGGAUAU